AACGAACGCUGGCGGCGUGUUUAAGACAUGCAAGUCGCACGGGAACAUUUUGGUAGCAAUACUCGGAUGUUCUAGUGGCGCACGGGUGAGUAACACGUGAAUAACAUGCCCUUUAGAGGGGGAUAGCCCAGGGAAACUUGGAUUAAUACCCCAUGGUCUCGCAAGAGAAAAGGUGGCCGCAAGGCUGUCGCUAAGGAUUGGUUCGCGUCCUAUCAGCUUGUUGGCGGGGUAAGGGCCCACCAAGGCUACGACGGGUACCUGGUCUGAGAGGACGAUCAGGCACACUGGAACUGAGACACGGUCCAGACACCUACGGGUGGCAGCAGUCGAGAAUAAUUCACAAUGGGGGCAACCCUGAUGGUGCAACGCCGCGUGGAGGAUGAAGGUCUUCGGAUUGUAAACUCCUGUCAUCCGGGAGUAAGACCUGGCGAUGAAUAGUCGACAGGGUUGAUAGUACCGGAAGAGGAAGGGACGGCUAACUUCGUGCCAGCCGCCGCAGUAAGAC
rnacentral:rRNA from 1 species